AUUGAACGCUGGCGGCAGGCCUAACACAUGCAAGUCGAGCGGCAGCGGAAAGUAGCUUGCUACUUUGCCGGCGAGCGGCGGACGGGUGAGUAAUGUCUGGGAAACUGCCUGAUGGAGGGGGAUAACUACUGGAACGGUAGCUAAUACCGCAUAACGUCGCAAGACCAAAGAGGGGGACCUUCGGGCCUCUUGCCAUCAGAUGUGCCCAGAUGGGAUUAUCUAGUAGGUGGGGUAACGGCUCACCUAGGCGACGAUCCCUAGCUGGUCUGAGAGGAUGACCAGCCACACUGGAACUGAGACACGGUCCAGACUCCUACGGGAGGCAGCAGUGGGGAAUAUUGCACAAUGGGCGCAAGCCUGAUGCAGCCAUGCCGCGUGUAUGAAGAAGGCCUUCGGGUUGUAAAGUACUUUCAGCGGGGAGGAAGGCGCUGAGGUUAAUAACCUCAGCGAUUGACGUUACCCGCAGAAGAAGCACCGGCUAACUCCGUGCCAGCCGCCGCGGUAA
rnacentral:rRNA from 1 species